rnacentral:rRNA from 1 species
AUUGAACGCUGGCGGCAGGCCUAACACAUGCAAGUCGAACGAGUGGCGGACGGGUGAGUAAUGUAUGGGAAACUGCCCGAUGGAGGGGGAUAACUACUGGAAACAGUAGCUAAUACCGCAUACCUUCAGAUGUGCCCAGAUGGGAUUAGCUGGUAGGUGGGGUAAAGGCUCACCUAGGCGACGAUCCCUAUCUGGUCUGAGAGGAUGACGAGACACACGGGAACUGAGACAGGGUCCAGACUCCUACGGGAGGCGGCAGUGGGGAAUAUUGCACAAUGGGGGCAAGCCUGAUGCAGCCAUGCCGCGUGUAGGAAGAAGGCCUUCGGGUUGUAAAGUACUUUCAGCGAGGAGGCGUUACUCGCAGAAGAAGCACCGGCUAACUCCGUGCCAGCAGCCGCGGUAAUUC